UACGUAGGGUGCGAGCGUUAAUCGGAUUUACUGGGCGUAAAGCGUGCGCAGGCGGCCCGUUAAGACAGGUGUGAAAUCCCUGGGCUCAACCUAGGAAUUGCGCUUGUGACUGGCGGGCUCGAGUACGGUAGAGGGGGGUGGAAUUCCUGGUGUAGCAGUGAAAUGCGUAGAUAUCGGGAGGAAGGCCGGUGGCGAAGGCGGCCUCCUGGGCCUGUACUGACGCUCAUGCACGAAAGCGUGGGGAGCAAACAGG
rnacentral:rRNA from 1 species